GAAGGUGAUGUCUAAGGCCACCAAACUGUCCACUGUGAAGAUAAACCGUGCAUGUUUAGUAGGAGGUGGCUCCCCUUCCCUGUGGGGAGUCCCACUGCUUCCCUGGCCUGGGUGUUCUCUGCUGUGCCUUUGGACCCUUCUUCGGAAAAGCACAUGAACUCUUUGGAGUCUCCCGUUCCACUUGGUAAAUUUCCUAUAGCCACACACUGAAAGUCCCUGCUGCCCUCCUUCCUCUGAGCUUGUGGGGCCCACAGAUCCCCUGCUCCACUUCCUGCUUUAUUUCAGCUGAUGGAUGACACUCCCUCGUUCUAAUACCAUCUGAAUGCCUGAGCAAUUACAUCUUACAAUCUCAUGAAAAACACAGCAGCUUGUCACGAUGAAUGAUGUUACCGUGAAUAAUGCAGUUUUGAGUUCAAACUCCUUCUUAUUCCAAGAAUGAGUAAAUAUCCCUAUUCCCUCCCCUCCCCAUUGCAUUUGGGUUUGACAUGACAUGAAUCAUUGUGGUUUUACUCCUGGGUAGAAUUGUUUUUCUGUUUUGCAUUGCCAACCAAUGGAAGGACAAAAAAAGGAAACUUACCAACGAGCAGUUUCAGAUGAACUUAAAUUCUCAGAAAUCUUGAAGAAUGAAUGAACUACAACUUUUUGGAGUUGCAAAAAUGUUCAAGUCG
rnacentral:antisense_RNA from 1 species